AAGGAUUUAAGUUAAAAAAACUUUUAACCUUCAAAGUUAAGUAUAGAAAAUUUUAUUCUAAGCCUUA
rnacentral:tRNA from 1 species